rnacentral:rRNA from 1 species
GACGAACGCUGGCGGCGUGCUUAACACAUGCAAGUCGAACGGAAAGGCCCUGCUUUUGUGGGGUUCUCGAGUGGCGAACGGGUGAGUAACACGUGAGUAACCUGCCCUUGACUUUGGGAUAACUUCAGGAAACUGGGGCUAAUACCGGAUAGGAGCUCCUGCUGCAUGGUGGGGGUUGGAAAGUUUCGGCGGUUGGGGAUGGACUCGCGGCUUAUCAGCUUGUUGGUGGGGUAGUGGCUUACCCAGGCUUUGACGGGUAGCCGGCCUGAGAGGGUGGCCGGCCACAUUGGGACUGAGAUACGGCGCAGACUCCUACGGUAGGCAGCAGUGGGGAAUAUUGCACAAUGGGCGGAAGCCUGAUGCAGCAACGCCGCGUGCGGGAUGACGGCCUUGGGGUGGUAAACCGCUUUCGCCUGUGACGAAGCGUGAGUGACGGUAAUGGGUAAAGAAGCACCGGCUAACUACGUG